rnacentral:rRNA from 1 species
GACGAACGCUGGCGGUGUGCCUAAUACAUGCAAGUCGAGCGGACAGAUGGGAGCUUGCUCCCUGAUGUUAGCGGCGGACGGGUGAGUAACACGUGGGUAACCUGCCUGUAAGACUGGGAUAACUCCGGGAAACCGGGGCUAAUACCGGAUGGUUGUUUGAACCGCAUGGUUCAAACAUAAAAGGUGGCUUCGGCUACCACUUACAGAUGGACCCGCGGCGCAUUAGCUAGUUGGUGAGGUAACGGCUCACCAAGGCAACGAUGCGUAGCCGACCUGGGAGGGUGAGCGGCCACACUGGGACUGAGACACGGCCCAGACUCCUACGGGAGGCAGCAGUAGGGAAUCUUCCGCAAUGGACGAAAGUCUGACGGAGCAACGCCGCGUGAGUGAUGAAGGUUUUCGGAUCGUAAAGCUCUGUUGUUAGGGAAGAACAAGUACCGUUCGAAUAGGGCGGUACCUUGACGGUACCUAACCAGAAAGCCACGGCUAACUACGUGCCAGCCGCCGCAGUAA